AAUUCCUGUAGACAUGUUUAUGAAGAAGUACCUUUCUCAGCUAUUACUGCCCUGCCUUUCACUUGUCUCCUCCUGGAAGCUGGGGAUUUGAAUACCAUUCAAGUAACUUUUGCUGGAGCCAUUUUAUGAUUUGGGACUUCAGUAACAGCUUGAAAGAUGGUUGCUGGACGUAGUACUUGGAAAAUUUACCACUGCUACAUGAGAAACACAAUCUAAAGAUGUCUGUAACAGCG